rnacentral:rRNA from 1 species
CUGCGAGUGAGAGGGAAAGCUCAAAUUUUAAUCUGUUAGGUUUACCUAACCGAGUUGUAAUUUGAAGAAGCGUUUUCUGCGAAUUUGGUUAGUCCAAAUCCUUUGGAAUAAGGUAUCAUGGAGGGUGAGAAUCCCGUUCGGUUAACCAAAGCGCUUUACGAUACGCUUUCAAAGAGUCAAGUUGUUUGGGAUUGCAGCUUAAAAUGGGAGGUAAAUUUCUCCUAAGGCUAAAUAUUGGCGAGAGACCGAUAGCGAACAAGUACCGUGAGGGAAAGAUGAAAAGAACUUUGAAAAGAGAGUUAAACAGUACGUGAAAUUGUUGAAAGGGAAACGAUUAAAGUCAGUCGUACCUACGAGUAAUCAACCUACUCGAGUGCGAUUUUGUGGGUAUGUUAGAGUUUAAACCUUCAUGCUUACAAAUUGGUGCUCUUUGGGCGUACUUUCUCGUAUGGUAGGUUAACAUCAAUUUCGAUCGUUAUAAAAUGACUGGAGGAAUGUAGCUUCGACCUCGGUUGAAGUGUUAUAGCCUUUGGUAGAUGUAAUGAUUGGGAUUGAGGAUUGCAACGGAUACCCUCUGGGCUAUUCGUCUGAUCUCUGGAAGUUACCUUGGUGUCGAAAGCGUGCUUACGAUAUUAAGGUUGACGGCCAAUAGG